rnacentral:sRNA from 1 species
GCCAGGCGUGGUGGCUCAUGCCUGUAAUCCAAGCACUUUGGAGGCUAAGGCGGGCGGAUCACCUGAGGUCGGGAGUUCAAGACCAGCCCGACCAACAUGGUGAAACCCCAUCUUUA